rnacentral:tRNA from 1 species
GCGCGAGUGGCGGAAUUGGUAGACGCGCUGGCUUCAGGUGCCAGUGUCCUCACGGACGUGGGGGUUCAAGUCCCCCCUCGCGCA